CUCGUAUUUAUUACUGAAUUUUCCUUUAAGGAAGGACCCACAUUCUAAAAAAAACCAAAAAAAAAAAAACCAAUGGAAUGCAGACAACUGGCGAAAUACUAGUCUGGUCUUGUUUUGUGUUUAAGCUCUUUAAGAGCUUCUGAACAUUUUUAGUUUCGUUCUCAUCUUUUUACAGUUAACAGAGAGGGAGAGAGACCCAGACGUGUAAAAUCUAAAGAUAAAAGGUGAGUUUGCAGAUUGUGAUUAUUAAACCAUUACCAUUGUUUUCAAUGGGAUUUUAAAGCACGAUAAGCAGGCAAAAAGUGUGUUUUAAAACAACAAAUCAUGCUUUUUUGUUGUUCGUCUUGAGUUGUUUUUUUGUGAGCAGAAGUAUUGGGACAUGUGACUAUCAGGUGUGUUUGUAAAGCAGGUGUGUCCUGAUAUUUUGACUAUUCAAACAUUAAACAGUGCUGAAAGUCUAAGUUCAGUUUUAGGUUUCUUACCUAUAUAUUACUAAAAUAGGGCUUGCCAUAAGUGUGUAUUCUUAAAAGUUUAAUUUCUUCUACUAAUCUUUGCAGGAAGUUUUGUUAUUCUGAAAGGAGAUUACCUGUUUUGUGUGAGCAUUUUUCCAAUUAUAUGAAUAAAUCAGUAAGGAUGUAGAACAAUUGUUAAAUAUAUUCUUUAAAAGAUUAGUAGUAAACUGUUAGAUGAAAAUAACUUUUUCACUGAUCGCCAUCUUAUUGAUCUUAUAUAUUGUGUGGCCAGUGUGAUUAGUAGUGAUGGUGGUGUUAUUAUGUUUGUAGAUAACAUGGCAUUCUGCAGACCUGCUGUCUCUGUCCUGAUCUUACUGCUGUAUUUACAUGGAGUUGUCUGUGCACCAGCUUCAGCUGAAGUAACAGUGAAGGCGUAUCUUAAUGACUCUGCGACCCUGCCCUGCUCUGGACAACACUCAGGGACAGUCGUGUGGGUCAUGCUCGAGAAACCUGAUCAUGUUGUGGCUUGGUGUAAUCAAACAUCAUGCUGGUCAGAGCACGGGUUUGAGAUGUCUCAUGAUAAUUACCGGAAUGGAACUUUCUCCCUGAACAUCACUGCAGUUGAGCACAGUAAUGCCGGCCUGUACCAGUGCCUGGAUGACCAUAAGAUCAUCAGUGAUGUCCGGCUUAAGGUUGAGAAUAUUCCCUCCAUAAACGUGGACCGGUACCACAGUGUUGUUCUCCCUUGCCAUGGGAUAUCUCCUGGUUUGGUAACCUGGGUCAAAAAUGAUAAACCCUCUGAUCCUCUGGCUGAGUGUGAUCGGACUUCCUGCAGAUCAGUGAAGGAGGGAUAUCAGAUGAUCUAUGAUCAAUACCUGCAGGGAGAUUUCUCUCUGAUCAUCACUGAAGCUGAUUUCAGUAAGAGAGGGAAUUACACGUGUCAGUGUGAUAGUUUCCUCUUUCGUGUGCAGCUUCUCAUAAAUCCUCUGAAUUCCCCAGUUCAUAUACAGUCUGGUGAUUCUCUGGUGCUGGCUUUAGACCUACACGAUCCAUUGGAGGUGAUCUAUAAAAGAAGUGGAGCAGCCCAUCAAACCAGUGUUCAGAUCUGUACUCUGUAUGGACGCUCACUCCACUGUAUUGAUAAAUAUAAAAAUAGAGUGUUUCUACAUUCUGCUCUGGAGCUGAGUGGAAUGAACGUGUCUGAUAGUGGAGUGUACACCAUGAGGACCAUCGAGAAUAAAGAGGAUAUUCACAUCUACACCGUGAAUGUUACAGAUUACCAACGUCCACCCCUCCCCUCACCCCUGGAUGGAAAAGUCAUUUGCAUCAGUUUUUUUUUGUGUAUAUCAGUGAUUAUUAAUGUGAUUUUGGUGGUUAGGCUUUGCGUAUUGAAAAGGCAGCACAAAAAGGCAAAUGUUACCUGUGUCCUGAAAAACAGAUGUUGUAGAAAUGAAGAUGCAAAUGAGAGUACAGCAGAAGAACAGAUACUGCAAACUGAGCAACAAUAAGCCAUAACUCUGAGAGAUUAUUUUUAUUACAAAUAUUUGCAUCAGUGUGGUGUGUUGGCACUAAUUCAGGGCUUUACUGUAGAAGAUUAUAUUAUAUUAUAUUAUCUUCACUCAAUCACAACUGAAACCUUUAUUCCUGAAUAUACAUAGGAGCUUUACAUUUUAAAUUCCUUCUUUCUUAUUGUGCUCCUCAGACUUAAAACACAAUUAUACCAUUACCUUACCAUAGCAUAUUAUUUCAUUGUCAAUUGUUCAUUGUUUUUUCGUGUGUAAUUGUAGUGAUGAUAUAUUAGAUUGAUUACAAUAUUAGUGUGAAAAGAUUUGUUUAUUGGGGGAAACUAUUACUAUUACUGUACUAUAAAUGAAAGGAAGCUCUAAUACUCUGUUUGAGCCUCUGAACAAUGUGAGAUAUGUAUGAAUAUAUAAUACAAAAAACAAGUAAGUGCUAUCUUUUAGAAAUACAUUUAUCUGUUAUUGCAAAUUAUAUCUUCCUACAUAUAUAUGUCUGUAUAUACGUACUUAAAGCUACUUGAUUACUAUCACUUUACUUCUCAACUUCUCCAACAUAUAGAAAAAUCUCCUUGGUAUUGUAAAUGACUAAACUUUUCUAAUAAUAAAGUUUGAAACAGUGGAUUACA
rnacentral:lncRNA from 1 species